rnacentral:misc_RNA from 1 species
GAUGAAGAACGUAGUGAAAUGCGAUACGUAAUGUGAAUUGCAGAAUUCAGUGAAUCAUCGAAUCUUUGAACGCAUAUUGCGCUCUCUGGUAUUCCGGAGAGCAUGCUUGUUUGAGUAUCAGUAAACACCUCAACUCCCUUUUCUUUUUUGAAAUUGGAGCUGGACUUGAGUGAUCCCAACGCUUUCUUCCAAGAAAGUGGCGGGUUGCUUGAAAUGCAGGUGCAGCUGAACUUUUCUCUGAGCUAUAAGCAUAUCUAUUUAGUCUGCCUAAAAAACAGAUUAUUACCUUUGCUGCAGCUAACAUAAAGGAGACUAGUUCUUGUGCUGACUGAUGCAGGAUUCACAGAGACAGCUUCGGCUGACUUUGUAAACUCGAUUUCAAAUCAAGUAAGACUACCCGCUGAACUUAAGCAUAUCAAUAAGCGGAGGA